rnacentral:lncRNA from 1 species
CUUUGACUACCCCCAUAAUAUUUUCCACACCCCCCAAAAAACUCAACCUUUCCUUUCCCUUCUUCUUCUUCUUCUUCAUUCAUUCAUUCAAUCAAAAUCAUUCAUUCAUUCAAUCAAAAGAUAGAUCCUCAUCCAUCAUCCAUCACAAACAACUGAAUGAAUACACCAAAUCCUAACAAACUAGAUCCUUUAUCUCAUCCA